rnacentral:ncRNA from 1 species
CUGGGAGAGAUCGCGAAAGCGGCGCCGAAGGGGCAGUUGCAGUAAACUCUCAGGCAAAGGAACUGGGU